CCAGACUCCUACGGGAGGCAGCAGUGGGGAAUAUUGGGCAAUGGGCGCAAGCCUGACCCAGCAACGCCGCGUGAAGGAAGAAGGCUUUCGGGUUGUAAACUUCUUUUGUCAGGGACGAAGCAAGUGACGGUACCUGACGAAUAAGCCACGGCUAACUACGUGCCAGCAGCCGCGGUAAUACGUAGGGGGCAGGCGUUAUCCGGAUUUACUGGGUGUAAAGGGGGCGCAGACGGCGAUGCAAGCCAGGAGUGAAAGCCCGGGGCCCAACCCCGGGACUGCUCUUGGAACUGCGCGGCUGGAGUGCAGGAGGGGCAGGCGGAAUUCCUGGUGUAGCGGUGAAAUGCGUAGAUAUACGGAGGAACACCAGUGGCGAAGGCGGAUUGCUGGACAGUAACUGACGCUGAGGCGCGAAAGCGUGGGGAGCAAACAGGAUUAGAUACCCUUGUA
rnacentral:rRNA from 1 species